rnacentral:rRNA from 1 species
CCUACGGGAGGCAGCAGUAGGGAAUCUUCCACAAUGGACGAAAGUCUGAUGGAGCAACGCCGCGUGAGUGAAGAAGGGUUUCGGCUCGUAAAGCUCUGUUGGUAGGGAAGAAAGAUAGAGGGAGUAACGGGCCUUGAUUUGACGGUAAGAACGGAGAAAGGAACGGCUAACUACGUGCCAGCAGCCGCGGUAAUACGUAGGUGGCAAGCGUUGUCCGGAUUUCUUGGGCGUAAAGCGAGUGCAGGCGGUUCCAUAAGUCUGAUGUGAAAGCCUUCGGCUCAACCGGAGAAUUGCAUCAGAAACUGUUGAACUUGAGUGCAGUCGCGGGGAGUUGAACUCCCUGUGUAGCGG